rnacentral:rRNA from 1 species
GAUGAACGCUGGCGGCGUGCCUAAUACAUGCAAGUCGAGCGAAGCGGGGACGGGUGAGGAACACUUGGAAAACCUCCUAUAAGUCCGGGUUAACUUCGGGAAACCGGAGCUAAACCGGAUAUUCAUAUAUGGAUCCGCGCUGCAUUAGCGAGUUGGUAAGGUAACGGCUUACCAAGGCAACGAUGCAUAGCCGAUCCGAGAGGGUGAUCGGCCACACUGGGACUGAGACACGGUCCAGACUCCUACGGGAGGCAGCAGUAGGGAAUCUUCCGCAAUGGGCGAAAGCCUGACGGAGCAACGCCGCGUGAGUGAUGAAGGUCGUCGGAUCGUAAAACUCUGUUAUUAGAGAAGCGGUACCUAAUCAGAAAGCCACGGCUAACUACGUGCCAGCAGCCGCGGUAAUUC